UGCGUAGGCGGAAUAUUAAGUCAGUGGUGAAAUCCUGCGGCUCAACCUUAGAACUGCCAUUGAUACUGAUAUUCUUGAAUGUAGUUGAGGUAGGCGGAAUGUGUAAUGUAGCGGUGAAAUGCUUAGAUAUUACACAGAACACCGAUUGCGAAGGCAGCUUACUAAACUAUGAUUGACGCUGAGGCACGAAAGCGUGGGGAGCGAACAGGAUUAGAUACCCUGGUAGUC
rnacentral:rRNA from 1 species